rnacentral:rRNA from 1 species
CCCUUAGAUGUUCUGGGCCGCACGCGCGCUACACUGAUGCAUUCAACGAGUCCAACCUUGACCGAGAGGUCCGGGUAAUCUUUGAAACUGCAUCGUGAUGGGGCUAGAUUAUUGCAAUUAUUAAUCUUCAACGAGGAAUGCCUAGUAAGCGUGAUUCAUCAAAUCGCGUUGAUUACGUCCCUGCCCUUUGUACACACCGCCCGUCGCUCCUACCGAUUGAGUGUGUUGGUGAGGAGUUUGGAUUGGCCUCGGAAGGUGGUUCGCCACCGUCCGUAGCUGAGAAGUUCUCCAAACCGCCCCACUUGGAGGAAGGAGAAGUCGUAACA